AACACCUCAAAGCUUUUGGAUUUUUAAUCGAAAAGCCUUUGGACUUGAGCAAUCCCAACACCAAUCUUUUUGAGAUCGGUGGCGGGUUGCUUGAAAUGCAGGUGCAGCUGGACAUUCUCCUGAGCUAAAAGCAUAUUCAUUUAGUCCCGUCAAACGGAUUAUUACUUUUGCUGCAGCUAACAUAAAGGGAGUUUGACCGUAUUGGCUGACUGAUGCAGGAUUUCACAAGGGUCGGCAACGAUUCUUGUUAA
rnacentral:misc_RNA from 1 species